GAUGAACGCUGGCGGCGUGCCUAAUACAUGCAAGUCGAGCGAACAGAUGAGGAGCUUGCUCCUCUGACGUUAGCGGCGGACGGGUGAGUAACACGUGGAUAACCUACCUAUAAGACUGGGAUAACUUCGGGAAACCGGAGCUAAUACCGGAUAAUAUAUUGAACCGCAUGGUUCAAUAGUGAAAGACGGUUUUGCUGUCACUUAUAGAUGGAUCCGCGCCGCAUUAGCUAGUUGGUAAGGUAACGGCUUACCAAGGCAACGAUGCGUAGCCGACCUGAGAGGGGGAUCGGCCCCACUGGAACCUAGACACGGGCCCGACUCCCACGGGAGGCCGCAGGGGGGAAUCUUUCCCCAAGGGCGGAAGCCCGACGGAGCAACCCCCCGGGGGGGAAGAAGGUCUUUGGAUCCUAAAACCCUUUUAUUAGGGAAAAACAAAAUUGUAAGUAAAUUUGCCCGUCUUUACCGGAACUAAUCAGAAAACCACGGCUAACUUCGUU
rnacentral:rRNA from 1 species